CUUUACUGUAGCUUGGUAUUGGGUUCGGGCUUUGACUGCGCAGGAUAGGUGGGAGACUAUGAAGCUGCCCUUGUGGGGGCAGUGGAGUCAUCAGUGAGAUACCACUCUGUCAAGGCUAGAAUUCUAACCGUCUGCCGUUAUCCGGCGACGGAACAGUAUCAGGUGGGCAGUUUGACUGGGGCGGUCGCCUCCUAAUGGUAACGGAGGCGCGCAAAGGUUCCCUCAGGCUGGUUGGAAAUCAGCCGAAGAGUGUAAAGGCAGAAGGGAGCUUGACUGCAAGAGCAACAACUCAAGCAGGGACGAAAGUCGGCCUUAGUGAUCCGACGGCGCUGAGUGGAAGGGCCGUCGCUCAACGGAUAAAAGUUA
rnacentral:rRNA from 1 species